rnacentral:tRNA from 1 species
AGGUACUGUGCCAGAAAAAUUGGGUUAUCUUGAUGAGGUAAAAUAUGGAAAUAGUUUCCCGGUGCUUGCC